CAACUUUCAACAACGGAUCUCUUGGCUCUCGCAUCGAUGAAGAACGCAGCGAAAUGCGAUACGUAAUGUGAAUUGCAGAUUCAGUGAAUCAUCGAAUCUUUGAACGCACCUUGCGCCCCUUGGCAUUCCGAGGGGCACACCCGUUUGAGUGUCGUGA
rnacentral:rRNA from 1 species